GGCGAACAGUGCUGUCCACCCUAAAAGGCCUGCCAUCCUCUGGACAUGUCACUUGAAGAAGGUGAUGGGCAUCUCAUUUGGAAAUAUAGGCUCGGUGAAUUUCACCGUCUUCUCCAGGAACUGCGUCUGGAUGACUGCCGCUUCCAGCGCUUCUUCAGGCUAACCAGGAGCCAGUUUGAUGACCUGUUGGCUCGGAUCGGUGCUUGGAUCUCUUGGUUGGACACCAAUUACAGGCGUUCAAUCUCAGCUGCGGAGCGCUUGUCCAUCUGUCUCCGGCGAACAGUGCUGUCCACCCUAAAAGGCCUGCCAUCCUCUGGACAUGUCACUUGAAGAAGGUGAUGGGCAUCUCAUUUGGAAAUAUAGGCUCGGUGAAUUUCACCGUCUUCUCCAGGAACUGCGUCUGGAUGACUGCCGCUUCCAGCGCUUCUUCAGGCUAACCAGGAGCCAGUUUGAUGACCUGUUGGCUCGGAUCGGUGCUUGGAUCUCUUGGUUGGACACCAAUUACAGGCGUUCAAUCUCAGCUGCGGAGCGCUUGUCCAUCUGUCUCCGGCGAACAGUGCUGUCCACCCUAAAAGGCCUGCCAUCCUCUGGACAUGUCACUUGAAGAAGGUGAUGGGCAUCUCAUUUGGAAAUAUAGGGAACUGCGUCUGGAUGACUGCCGCUUCCAGCGCUUCUUCAGGCUAACCAGGAGCCAGUUUGAUGACCUGUUGGCUCGGAUCGGUGCUUGGAUCUCUUGGUUGGACACCAAUUACAGGCGUUCAAUCUCAGCUGCGGAGCGCUUGUCCAUCUGUCUCCGCGUACCACGUGUCAGGAAAUAAACAAGAAGACAAAUCUGCGAGCACAAGUCAAGUUUAAAGUAAAUAUCACAAACGAAACCACUCCAGUGGUACAUUCUUACU